GACGAACGCUGGCGGCGUGCUUAACACAUGCAAGUCGAACGGAAAGGCCCUGCUUUUGUGGGGUGCUCGAGUGGCGAACGGGUGAGUAACACGUGAGUAACCUGCCCUUGACUUUGGGAUAACUUCAGGAAACUGGGGCUAAUACCGGAUAGGAGCUCCUGCUGCAUGGUGGGGGUUGGAAAGUUUCGGCGGUUGGGGAUGGACUCGCGGCUUAUCAGCUUGUUGGUGGGGUAGUGGCUUACCAAGGCUUUGACGGGUAGCCGGCCUGAGAGGGUGACCGGGGACGAUGGGGGGGAGAUAGGGCCCGGAGGGCAAGGGGGGGCAGCAGUGGGGGAGAGUGGACGAUGGGCGGAAGCGUGGUACAGCAACUCCGCGUGCGGGAAGACGGCCUUCGGGUUGUAAGCCGAUUUCGCAUGUGACAACGCGUGAGUGACGGUAAUGGGUAAAGAAGCACCGGCUAACUACGUG
rnacentral:rRNA from 1 species